ensembl:processed_transcript Snhg1 small nucleolar RNA host gene 1
GGUGACAAAUCUCAGGCAUUCAAAGGUUAGUUAGAUUAUUUUGGAUGGGGUUUGUUCACUAGGUUUGCUGUUUCUAUGAUGAAUCAAACUAGCUCACUAUGACUGCUAAUGAAAACACAGGAACACCUGAGAAACCAAAGGGUAGUGUGGGGGCAAGGGCCUUAUAUCCAGCCUUUUCAAGGUUUGUUAUUUUUCUCCAGGUUCUGUUAGCAGUGCCAUACUUGUGGGUUUACAGAGAUGGUGUGUCUGGCUGAGAACAAAGGAGCCGUACCAGGAAAGUUGAAGCAUAUCUUCAUUUUCAAGUCCAGGCUAAAAUAAGGUGAGAAAACUUAGAUGAAAAGUAUGCUGAACUAUAAUUUCCCCAUGAAGAAAUGUUCACACGUCCUACUUCCUGUCCUAGCUCCAGAGCCUGAAAAGGUGAACCCACUGGGGCUGGCUGGGGGAAAAGAGGAAACUUUGUUCCAGAAGGAACUGUCUGAGGGAUCAUUUUUGUGC